UGUUACUGUUUUCAACUCCUUUUCCCAUCUUUUGAUUAGUGAUAGAUGAUUUCACAGGAAUAAAUUAUCAUGUAAUUCAAAUCCUUGGCAUGAGGAUCCUUCUGUAACUCCCAUUGAAUUUGAUCAUAUGAUGGGAAAAGGAGUUGAAAACAGUAACAAGCAAUUUUACAUCCAAAAAUUCAAUGCAGAAAAAGGUCACUACUAAAGUGCCUCUAGAAUCUAAUUCAUCUUAGUACAGUAGUUCCUCAAAAACAGGAUCCACGGAUUGCCCCCACUUUCCAUCAUACAGUUCCAAAAGCUUCUCUGCUGGUGUCACACCUGUUCUAACCACCUCAGCCACUUCAUUCAAGAACCCAAUUUCCUUGAAGCCUCUCCUUUCUAAGCCAUCCUUAGC
rnacentral:misc_RNA from 1 species